rnacentral:rRNA from 1 species
AUUGAACGCUGGCGGCAGGCCUAACACAUGCAAGUCGCGCGAGCGGCGGACGGGUGAGUAAUGUCUGGGAAACUGCCUGAUGGAGGGGGAUAACUACUGGAAACGGUAGCUACUCCCGCAUACAAUCAGCGUUGCACGGAUGGGAUUAGCUAGUAGGUGGGGAAAUGGCUCACCUAGGCGACGCUCCAUAGCUGGUCUGAGAGGAUGACCAGCCACACGGGAACGGAGACACGGUCCAGACUCCUACGGGAGGCAGCAGUGGGGAAUAGUGCACAAUGGGCGCAAGCCUGAUGCAGCCAUGCCGCGUGUGUGAAGAAGGCCUUAGGGUUGUAAAGCACUUUCAGCGGGGAGGCGUUACCCGCAGAAGAAGCACCGGCUAACUCCGUGCCAGCCGCCGCGGUAAUAC